rnacentral:rRNA from 1 species
GAAUUCGCCCUUAGAGUUUGAUCCUGGCUCAGGAUGAACGCUGGCGGCGUGCCUAACACAUGCAAGUCGAGCGAUUCUCUUCGGAGAAGAGCGGCGGACGGGUGAGUAACGCGUGGGUAACCUGCCCUGUACACACGGAUAACAUACCGAAAGGUAUGCUAAUACGAGAUAAUAUGCUUUUAUCGCAUGGUAGAAGUAUCAAAGCUCCGGCGGUACAGGAUGGACCCGCGUCCGAUUAGCUAGUUGGUGAGGUAACGGCCCACCAAGGCGACGAUCGGUAGCCGGACUGAGAGGUUGAACGGCCACAUUGGGACUGAGACACGGCCCAGACUCCUACGGGAGGCAGCAGUGGGGAAUAUUGCACAAUGGGGGAAACCCUGAUGCAGCGACGCCGCGUGGAGGAAGAAGGUCUUCGGAUUGUAAACUCCUGUUGUUGAGGAAGAUAAUGACGGUACUCAACAAGGAAGUGACGGCUAACUACGUGCCAGCAGCCGCGGUAAAACGUAGGUCACAAGCGUUGUCCGGAAUUACUGGGUGUAAAGGGAGCGCAGGCGGGAGAACAAGUUGGAAGUGAAAUCCAUGGGCUCAACCCAUGAACUGCUUUCAAAACUGUUUUUCUUGAGUAGUGCAGAGGUAGGCGGAAUUCCCGGUGUAGCGGUGGAAUGCGUAGAUAUCGGGAGGAACACCAGUGGCGAAGGCGGCCUACUGGGCACUAACUGACGCUGAGGCUCGAAAGUGUGGGUAGCAAACAGGAUUAGAUACCCUGGUAGUCCACACCGUAAACGAUGAUUACUAGGUGUUGGAGGAUUGACCCCUUCAGUGCCGCCAUUAACACAAUA